UACGGUGAUCAUGGCGAAAGGGAAAUACCCGGCUCCAUUCCGAACCCGGAAGUUAAGCCUUUCAGCGCCGAUGGUACUGCACGGGAGACUGUGUGGGAGAGUAGGUCGUCGCCGGAC
rnacentral:rRNA from 1 species